UACGUAGGGUGCAAGCGUUAAUCGGAAUUACUGGGCGUAAAGCGUGCGCAGGCGGUUUGGUAAGACAGAUGUGAAAUCCCCGGGCUUAACCUGGGAACUGCAUUUGUGACUGCCCGGCUAGAGUGUGUAAGAGGGGGGUAGAAUUCCAUGUGUAGCAGUGAAAUGCGUAGAUAUGUGGAGGAAUACCGAUGGCGAAGGCAGCCCCCUGGGUUAACACUGACGCUCAGGCACGAAAGCGUGGGGAGCAAACAGG
rnacentral:rRNA from 1 species